UUCUCCCAUUAAAUGGGUUGGCUUUCACCGUCUGCAUAGUGUGAAUUGAUAAACAGGAUGUUUCAAUUGAUGAGGUCAAACUUGUGUAUUUUUUUCUGAGCCCAACUGCUGAAAGGUCAGAGCACAGGGAGGGUGAAGGCAUGGGUGGUCCCACAACCAGUGCUGUAGAAAGGCCUGGAGGACAACAGACAGAAUCCUCCUGGGAGAGGAAGAUACACAGGCCUGCUGUUGACCCAGUGAAUCUAUCCUUGUCUCUAGUCCCUACAGGGAAAUCAGGGCCCAGGUCAGAGGUGGUGCUGGUGGCCAUCGGGGAAGUGGCUGUCAAGACCCUGUUCCUUCUCUGCCUCAUCGUCCUCAUAGUGAAGUAUCACAGGAGGCACAGGACCACAGCUUCAGGGAGCACACAGGAUGCAAACACCAUCCUGGGUUAAGGUCUCAGCACAGGCUUCCAGGCAGUGUUUCCAGAGACCGUGUUGUUCGCUUCCUGAAAAGUAUGACAGCAGCGUUUCCUGUCCGUGGCCAGAGACCCAGGUGCAAACACCACAGGCUGGAUUGGAGGGUCUGCUGUGGUCUGCCCCUGCUGGACUCCCUACCAGAUUCCACCACUCCCUGCAUCCCACACCAUCUCCACACCCAGCUGUGCUGUUUGUGACUUUAGACUCAUAUGUGCAGUUCCUUCUCCUGAAAUGCCCUUUCCUCCCCAUUUCUACAUUCCCAUGUGCUAAUAACGUUUCAGCCUCAGUUAAAAUUCACCCUUAUUGAGUGUGUGUGUGUGUGUGUGUGUGUGAUUCUUUAUGGUUUUGAGCAAUGGAAAAUCAAGUCAUCUAUUUACAUAUAGACUUCUUCAGCAAGUUAACUAAACACCUACUAUGUGCCAGCAUUGUUGUAGGUGACAGAAAUGCAAGAGGGCACAUCAUAUAAAAAUUUGUCAUCAAGAAGCUGUCAAUCUGGAGACAAGAAGAUAGAAACACAAAGAAAUG